CUCUUAUCAAGAGAGGUGGAGGGAAGUGCCCUAUGAAGCCCGGCAACCAUCAACAUUUGUUGAAGUGGUGCCAAUUCACACAAAGCUGUUUAGCUUUGAGAGAUGAGAG
rnacentral:ncRNA from 2 species